AGGGAAAAUAGCUACUGAGGAAGCCACUUUUGGACUUCUUCAGGAUACCUGAUCAAAAUAUUGUGCAGGAGCUGGACAGAAUUUGACAUAACUAUACAACCAUUCAAUCCAGAAAGCGUGUGGAGCCUGCUGCACACUUUCCUCUUUCACCUCCAUCCCUCUCCCACAAAGAUGACCGGCAAGAUUCAUUGGCGGAUGAGCACGAGGAAGCCAGUGAAGAGAUUAUCCCAGAAAACUAGGAUCUCUUUGGCACUCAAAAUGCUGAUUCCUGCCCUGCAGAAAUCCAACCUAGUUCCCAGGCAGCAACUCAGGCCAGGAGAAGGCUGAUCCUAUAGAGGGAACCUCAGCUGGCAGUAAUGGAGGGG